GCGUUCAUAGCUCAGUUGGUUAGAGCACCACCUUGACAUGGUGGGGGUCGUUGGUUCGAGUCCAAUUGAAUGCACCA
rnacentral:tRNA from 3 species